UCCAAUAAAAGUUGAUUAAGUAAGGCGC
rnacentral:sRNA from 1 species